rnacentral:misc_RNA from 1 species
GACAGAUUCAAGUAAUUGAGGAAAAUUUUUAAUCAAAUUUAAGAUAAGUUUAGUUAUUAUUGAGAAUAUAAAGAAUAAGCUGAUUUUGUAGUACCUUAACUGCCAUCAUGCCUAUGUAUAUGCCUCAUUUGUAGAGAAAAAGUGAGUUUUAAAAUUAAAUUGAUUUAAUUUAGGACUGAUAUUAAAUUAAAAUUGAUUAAAAUUAAAUUAAAUUUAAGUCAAAUUAAAAUUGAAUUGAAAUUGAUUUUUUGAAAAAUAAAAUUAAAAAAAUCAAUAUUUAGCUUUGAUAAAAACUGGAAUCAUUUAGAAAAAUUGAUGUGUGCACUGUGCAUUGUGGUUCUCUCUCUUAAUAAUAAUAACAUUAU